rnacentral:sRNA from 1 species
GGUUCUCAUUUGAAAUCCCAUGCUCAUCUCUCUCUCUCUUACUUUCUAUUUUUU